rnacentral:rRNA from 1 species
GCUACCAAUCAUACUCACUCCCCACGGGCAAAUCGGAGUAAUACCGCAUAAGCCGUGGGGGGAAAGUUGGGCAUAUGAUUAAACCUCAUAUAGAAAGAUGAGCCCCGCGUGGAUUAGGCUUGUUGAUGGGUGACCGCCCUACCAAGGCGACGAUCGGUACUGGUCUGAGAGGAGGAGCAGCGACACUGGGAAUGAGACCCGGCCCAGACCCUACGGGAGGCAGCAGUGGGGAAUAUUGGACAAUGGGCGAAAGCCUGACCAGCAAUGACCGCGUGGGUGAAGAAGGCUUGCGGGUUGUAAAGCCCUUCAGCCGGGAGGAAAAGCGCCGGGUUAAUACCCCGACGUAUUGACGUUACGGCAGAAGAAGCACCGGCUAACUCCGUGCCAGCAGCCGCGGUAA